rnacentral:rRNA from 1 species
CCUACGGGGGGCUGCAGUGGGGAAUAUUGGACAAUGGGCGCAAGCCUGAUCCAGCAAUGCCGCGUGUGUGAAGAAGGCCUGCGGGUUGUAAAGCACUUUAAGCAGGAAAGAAGGGGUGAAAGUUAAUACCUUUCAUCAUUGACGUUACCUGCAGAAUAAGCACCGGCUAACUCCGUGCCAGCAGCCGCGGUAAUACGGCGGGUGCGGCGGGUAGUCGGUUUUACUGGGCCUAAGGGGAAGGUCGGGGGUUAACCUUGGAACUGCGGUGGAUACUGUCGGGCUAGAGUGUGGUAGAGGGGAGUGGAAUUUCCGGUGUAGCAGUGAAAUGCGUAGAGAUCGGAAGGAACACCAGUGGCGAAGGCGGCUCCCUGGACUAACACUGACGCUGAGGUGCGAAAGCGUGGGGAGCAAACAGGAUUAGAUACCCUUGUAGUC